UAACCACCUGAAGACACCCUGUAAUGAGAGAUCACCCUCACAAUGAGUCUCUUCACUCCUCACUGUCGUUCCCUGUUUGUCGUGGAAAAAUGAAGACACUAGUUCUAGUUCCUCCUGCCACAUCAGACUCUGCUGUAUAUAUGGAGACCCUUCAUGUUGUGUGCUUUUCAUUAUUGUGCAUGCAGGUAUAAUUCAGGCAUACGCUAAGCAGAAGUUUCAGGACCGUUCAAAGGAUUAUCGUGUGGCCGCAAUGUGUCACUGGAUCGAGUCUGUAUCCGGAUCAGAUGGUGGAGACAACUCUACAGAGCUGAAUGUCAGCAGAGACCAUGUCAACUAGAUGAGCCCCAAAGACAGAUCCCCAGUGAAGACCUCAUUAACUAUACAGCCAUUGACACGAAACCACAGCAAAGACCACAAUGACAAACACCAUGUUGCUUCAUCUGGACAGGUUUUUCUCCAUUCUUGGCUUGCUUAAUUUGGGACAAUUAAUUUUUGGGUGUAUUAACGACUUAAUUGCAGAGACACUGAAGGGAAGUGAACUGAGUUGGAUUGAAUUGUUCACUUUACACUUUUCCUUUAAUUUUGCAUUAGUUUCUUUUAUUUAAUAAUUUCAAGGUUUCCUCAAUUUAAAUCAACUGAUUGCUUUUUACAGUGCAUAAAAACAUUUUUAAUAACGUUCUUUACAACCAAACAAUA